rnacentral:lncRNA from 1 species
AAGNCAUCAAACGAUAUGAGCUUAGAGCAAUACACUUGAUUUUUGUUGAUUCUCUAGUUUUCUUUCUUCUCUUCUUUGAGCAUUUGUUUUAGACGUUAUAAGCAUAAAGAUGAACUUCAUAGUAGAUUUUCAACAAGGCUUAUGUUUCUUCUUUUUCUCUUUUCUUUUCUUCUUUUUUCUUUUUUUCUUUUUUCUUCUCAUCUCAUUUUUUCUGAAAGCCUCAAACAUUGCAUGCUUCGAGAUUGAGUAGAAAUCUAGAUAUGAAAUGAUGGAUCUUUCCUUCACUCUUGCUCAUUAC